GACGAACGCUGGCGGCGUGCUUAACACAUGCAAGUCGAACGGAAAGGCCCUGCUUUUGUGGGGUGCUCGAGUGGCGAACGGGUGAGUAACACGUGAGUAACCUGCCCUUGACUUUGGGAUAACUUCAGGAAACUGGGGCUAAUACCGGAUAGGAGCUCCUGCUGCAUGGUGGGGGUUGGAAAGUUUCGGCGGUUGGGGAUGGACUCGCGGCUUAUCAGCUUGUUGGUGGGGUAGUGGCUUACCAAGGCUUUGACGGGUAGCCGGCCUGGGAGGGUGACCGGCCACACUGGGCCUGAGAUACGGCCCAGACUCCUACGGGAGGCAACAGUGGGGAAUAUUGCACAAUGGGCGGAAGCCUGAUGCAGCAACGCCGCGUGCGGGAUGACGGCCUUCGGGUUGUAAACCGCUUUCGCCUGUGACGAAGCGUGAGUGACGGUAAUGGGUAAAGAAGCACCGGCUAACUACGUG
rnacentral:rRNA from 1 species